UUAUUCAUUUUUUUUUCACAUCCAUUACAUUUUUUAAAAAAAAUUGUUGUUAUACUAGACCAUAAAAAGGAACAAUAUUAGUAUUUCAAUUAAAUAAAUUGAAAAAAAUAAUGGAAACUUGAUGAAUUUCAAAACGAGGCUACAACAACAAUUUGUUUUCAAAUUCAAACAAAGACAAAGGAAGGACAUUAUGCACAUCAUAGAAGACAACUCGCAUAGUGAAAAACUGACACUUAAUUUUUGUGUGAUGACAAUUAGCUGCAUGAAAAAACAGUCGGCAGAAAACACCAUUUGGACAUAAAAGAAUGAUAAGUGCAUCAAAUAUAGUUUCAAGGAAAAAAAACAAGUUGAACCUCAAAACAAGUUUGACACAGUGUCUUCGUAGAUGAAAAUAAUCAGGAUCCAGUGGUGGACGUUUAGUAUACCAAAAUUAUUCACAUGGAGGAGUAUAUCUCCAAAUUUAAUACUUUUAAGUUAGUUUUGAAAGAAUAAAGAUAAAAAAUUACUUACUUUCUUUAAAUGUGAAUAUUUAUUUAUUGUUUUGUGUGUUACACUUAAUUUUGACAGAAAGGAAUAUUUUCCCUCACUUGUUACCGAUGAAAUCAACUGCAAAAGAAAGCUUUAUUUUCCAUGAUUUCCAUUUUCUAUGAGUAAUUUAAAAGAAAACCUUUUUAAGCAUGUUGUAAACAUGAAUACUUUAAUUGACAUAUAUUGUAAUAGUUAAUGUAUACUGUAGACCUUUAAAUGAAAAUGAUUUGUU